rnacentral:tRNA from 1 species
GGGCGCGUAGCUCAGAUGGUUAGAGCGCUACUCUCACACAGUAGAGGUCGAUGGUUCGAUUCCAUUCGCGCCCACCA